rnacentral:rRNA from 1 species
UACAGAGGGGGGCAAGCGUUGUUCGGAAUUACUGGGCGUAAAGGGCGCGUAGGCGGCCUUCUAAGUCGAACGUGAAAUCCCCGGGCUCAACCCGGGAACUGCGUCCGGUACUGGAAGGCUUGAAUCCGGGAGAGGGGAUGUGGAAUUCCAGGUGUAGCGGUGAAAUGCGUAGAUAUCUGGAGGAACACCGGUGGCGAAGGCGACAUCCUGGACCGGUAUUGACGCUGAGGCGCGAAAGCCAGGGGAGCAAAGCGGG